CAUGCCUAAUACAUGCAAGUAGAACGCUGAAGGAAGGAGCUUGCUUCUUCUGGAAGAGUUGCGAACGGGUGAGUAACGCGUAGGUAACCUACCUGAUAGCGGGGGAUAACUAUUGGAAACGAUAGCUAAUACCGCAUAACAGUUUAGAACACAUGUUGUAAACUUGAAAGGUGCAAAUGCAUCACUAUCAGAUGGACCUGCGUUGUAUUAGCUAGUUGGUGAGGUAAAGGCUCACCAAGGCAACGAUACAUAGCCGACCUGAGAGGGUGAUCGGCCACACUGGGACUGAGACACGGCCCAGACUCCUACGGGAGGCAGCAGUAGGGAAUCUUCGGCAAUGGGGGCAACCCUGACCGAGCAAUGCCGCGUGAGUGAAGAAGGUUUUCGGAUCGUAAAGCUCUGUUGUAAGGGAAGAACGUUGUGUAGAGUGGAAAGUUACACAAGUGACGGUACCUUACCAGAAAGGGACGGCUAACUACGUGCCAGCAGCCGCGGUAAUACGUAGGUCCCGAGCGUUGUCCGGAUUUAUUGGGCGUAAAGGGAGCGCAGGCGGUUUAAUAAGUCUGAAGUUAAAGGCUGUGGCUCAACCAUAGUUCGCUUUGGAAACUGUUAAACUUGAGUGCAGAAGGGGAGAGUGGAAUUCCAUGUGUAGCGGUGAAAUGCGUAGAUAUAUGGAGGAACACCGGUGGCGAAAGCGGCUCUCUGGUCUGUAACUGACGCUGAGGCUCGAAAGCGUGGGGAGCAAACAGGAUUAGAUACCCUGGUAGUCCACGCCGUAAACGAUGAGUGCUAGGUGUUAGGCCCUUUCCGGGGCUUAGUGCCGCAGCUAACGCAUUAAGCACUCCGCCUGGGGAGUACGACCGCAAGGUUGAAACUCAAAGGAAUUGACGGGGGCCCGCACAAGCGGUGGAGCAUGUGGUUUAAUUCGAAGCAACGCGAAGAACCUUACCAGGUCUUGACAUCCCUCUGACCGCCCUAGAGAUAGGGUUUCCCUUCGGGGCAGAGGUGACAGGUGGUGCAUGGUUGUCGUCAGCUCGUGUCGUGAGAUGUUGGGUUAAGUCCCGCAACGAGCGCAACCCUUAUUGUUAGUUGCCAUCAUUUAGUUGGGCACUCUAGCGAGACUGCCGGUAAUAAACCGGAGGAAGGUGGGGAUGACGUCAAAUCAUCAUGCCCCUUAUGACCUGGGCUACACACGUGCUACAAUGGUUGGUACAACGAGUCGCAAGCCGGUGACGGCAAGCUAAUCUCUUAAAGCCAAUCUCAGUUCGGAUUGUAGGCUGCAACUCGCCUACAUGAAGUCGGAAUCGCUAGUAAUCGCGGAUCAGCACGCCGCGGUGAAUACGUUCCCGGGCCUUGUACACACC
rnacentral:rRNA from 2 species